GACGAACGCUGGCGGCGCGCCUAACACAUGCAAGUCGAACGAGCGAGAGAGGGCUUGCUUUCUCGAGCGAGUGGCGAACGGGUGAGUAACGCGUGAGGAACCUGCCUCAAAGAGGGGGACAACAGUUGGAAACGACUGCUAAUACCGCAUAAGCCCACGGGUCGGCAUCGACCAGAGGGAAAAGGAGCAAUCCGCUUUGAGAUGGCCUCGCGUCCGAUUAGCUAGUUGGUGAGGUAAUGUCCCACCAAGGCGACGAUCGGUAGCCGGACUGAGAGGUUGAGCGGCCACAUUGGGACUGAGACACGGCCCAGACUCCUACGGGAGGCAGCAGUGGGGAAUAUUGCACAAUGGGGGAAACCCUGAUGCAGCGACGCCGCGUGGAGGAAGAAGGUCUUCGGAUUGUAAACUCCUGUUGUUGGGGAAGAUAAUGACGGUACCCAACAAGGAAGUGACGGCUAACUACGUG
rnacentral:rRNA from 1 species